AGUGGCGGACGGGUGAGUAACGCGUGAGAAUCUAGCUUCAGGUCGGGGACAACCACGGGAAACUGUGGCUAAUACCGGAUAUGCCGAGAGGUGAAAGGCUUGCUGCCUGAAGAUGAGCUCGCGUCUGAUUAGCUAGUUGGUGUGGUAAGAGCGCACCAAGGCGACGAUCAGUAGCUGGUCUGAGAGGAUGAUCAGCCACACUGGGACUGAGACACGGCCCAGACUCCUACGGGAGGCAGCAGUGGGGAAUUUUCCGCAAUGGGCGAAAGCCUGACGGAGCAAUACCGCGUGAGGGAGGAAGGCUCUUGGGUUGUAAACCUCUUUUCUCAGGGAAGAAAAAAAUGACGGUACCUGAGGAAUAAGCAUCGGCUAACUCCGUGCCAGCAGCCGCGGUAAUACGGAGGAUGCAAGCGUUAUCCGGAAUGAUUGGGCGUAAAGGGUCCGCAGGUGGCCAUGUAAGUCUGCUGUUAAAGAAUCUAGCUCAACUAGAUAAAAGCAGUGGAAACUACAUAGCUAGAGUGCGUUCGGGGUAGAGGGAAUUCCUGGUGUAGCGGUGAAAUGCGUAGAUAUCAGGAAGAACACCAGUGGCGAAGGCGCUCUACUAGGCCGCAACUGACACUGAGGGACGAAAGCUAGGGGAGCGAAUGGGAUUAGAUACCCC
rnacentral:rRNA from 1 species